UCCAUGCAACUUAGGUGUGUGUGCUUGCCACAUGCACCGGUGCCAGAAGUUUUUCCCCUCAUCAGUAUCCGUAGGGAAUUGGCUCCAGUGCCCCCUGGAGUGGCACGUGUAUGCCGUGGUAUAUGGGGUGCUGCUGGCUCCCCUCACCCUUAGGUCCUUGUUGGCAGAAAUUCUGACAGCUGAGAAAGAGGAUGGGUUGUGGAAUGGACAUGAGCAACACAUCUCGAAGAACACCAGUUAUGGAAAAAGAUAAGUCUUUUCUUCUUAGAGUGCUUGCUGAUGUCCAUUCAACUUAGGUGACUCCCAAGCAAUACCACUUGGAGGUAGGUAGGAGUUCACGGAUGCGUAGAUUGCAACACAGCUCUGCUGACCCAGCAUCACCUCUGGCCCCCCAGUAAGUGCUGGCAUAGCGGGCCACAAACAUGUGCACUAAGGACCAUAUCAUGGCUCAACAGCUGUACUGGAUCGGGAAGUGUGCCAGGAAGGCCACCGAAGAUGCCUGCACUCUGGUCAAGUGUGCUCUGACGAUCAGUGGCGGAGGGACUCCUGCCAACUCACAGCAGGUGCAAAUACAAGAGGAGAUCCAGUUAGAAAUCCUGUGUGUGGAUGCCAGGAGGCCCUUCAUUCUAUCAGCUAUAGAAAUGAAAAGCUGAGUCAACUUACAAUAAGGCUUUGUCCGAUCUAGGUAGACAGCCAGGGUCCUUCUUACAUCCAAAGCAUGAAGGUGCCUCUCUUCACCAGUCUCAUGGUUCUUGGGGUAGAAGACCAGAAGGAAGAUGUCCUGGCUCAUGUGGAAAGUAGACACCACUUUGGGAAGGAAGGCUGGUGGGGCUGGAGCUGGACCUUGUCCUUAUAGAAGACCAUGUAUGGCGAUGCUGAGGUCAGGGCUCGCAGCUCAGAGACUCACCUCGCCAACGUCACCAUCACCAGGAAAGCUACCUUCCAUGAUAGGUGAGAUGGAGCACGAUGUCAAAGGCUCAAAGAGCAGGCAUGUGAGCCAGGACAGAACCAAGUUGAGAUCCUACUGAGGGACUGAACUUGUGGAAAAAGUCUCUCAAUGCCUCUGAGGAACCUGAACGUCAAGUCAUGGGAGAACACUGUCUGCCCCUGGAUUGGCAGAUGAAAGGCAGAAAUGGCCCCUAGAUGUACCCUGAUAGAAGAGUGUGCCAGGCCCUGGUUCCUCAAAUGAAGCAAGUAAUCUAAGAUCAACUACACCAAAGAAUGAGAAGGGGAGAUGCCUUGUUCGUCCGUUUAGCGGGAGGACCUCAUCCACUUGCCAGGACCUUGCUGAUGAGCGGAAUCAGAGGGAACGUGUACAUCAGGCUUUCUGUGCAUGGCAGGAGAAAGGCAUCGGAAAGGGAGCCCUGGCCCAGACCCCAUUGGAGCAAAACUUGUGGCACCUCUUGUUCUGCCUAACAGGCUGAGGCAAUGGCAAGUGACUAACCUCCCUUUGGACCUGGGACCUGGAGCCGCCUCUGGUGAGCCCGUUGUUGAG